AGUGAACGCUGGCGGUAGGCCUAACACAUGCAAGUCGAACGGCAGCACAGUAAGAGCCUGCUCUUACGGGUGGCGAGUGGCGGACGGGUGAGGAAUACAUCGGAAUCUACUUUUUCGUGGGGGAUAACGUAGGGAAACUUACGCUAAUACCGCAUACGACCUACGGGUGAAAGCAGGGGAUCUUCGGACCUUGCGCGAUUGAAUGAGCCGAUGUCGGAUUAGCUAGUUGGCGGGGUAAAGGCCCACCAAGGCGACGAUCCGUAGCUGGUCUGAGAGGAUGAUCAGCCACACUGGACCUGAGACACGGUCCAGACUCCUACGGGAGGCAGCAGUGGGGAAUAUUGGACAAUGGGCGCAAGCCUGAUCCAGCCAUACCGCGUGGGUGAAGAAGGCCUUCGGGUUGUAAAGCCCUUUUGUUGGGAAAGAAAAGCAGCAGGUUAAUACCCCGCUGUUCUGACGGUACCCAAAGAAUAAGCACCGGCUAACUUCGUG
rnacentral:rRNA from 1 species